CUUCAGCGCGCUGCCUGCCUGCCCAGGGCCUUCCCGGAGAGCAGGUGACGGCGGCCUCCGGGCAUGGAGCUCGCGCUGACGAAAGGUUCUGGAAGCCGCCGUAAAAAGUAAUCAAGAAACGGGUGACAGGACUUUUCCCCUUUGAGGAACCGUUUGAGGUGUGGCACGAUACAGCAAGUCAGCUGCCAAAGAGGGGCUUAGCCACAGGAAGUGCGUGCCCAGAACGCAUCUCCCGUGUCCCUCACAGCAGUUCUAUGAGGCUGGCUGCCCUGUUUGACAACUGAGGCCCGCAUCUUCCCCGGAAUCACCGACGUGUGGCUCUGAGCCCUGUCCCAGGGAUUUUCUCCAUCAGAGAAGAGGAGCACUUUGAGCUUUGAGAGGAGCAGCCCUCUGCAAGUGAAGUGGAAAAAAAGGAAGCAGGCGAGGAGGCCCAUCCAGACCCUCCCCCAAGACCCUUGCUGAAAUGGCUGGGAUGCGGCGUGCAGAAGCUCUCCUUUCCUUCACAGCCCCUGGCUUUCCAAGAGUCCCUGCCCACCCAGAUGCCCGCUGGCAGAUGCAGCCUCAUCUCAAGGACACUGCUUGCUGGAUAAAUCCCUCACCACCCUAGAGACAGCCCACGGUCCUGAGACAAGGAUGCGGGCCAGGCUUGUUGCACGUAAGCGCCUCCCGCAGAAACCAGUGAGGCCGGAGUUCCAGAGGAAAUGAUGUAGGGACAGAGGCAGAGGGCCUCCAGGAGGCACCAGCCCCAGAGUCUUCCCUAGAAUCAGACUUUAAGCACAAGCAGGGAGGGAAAGCACUUGAGCAGUGCCCGUCCCUGCAUACCUGGCCUCUGCUGGAACCCAUGCAGGGACAGGACACUUCUUUAUCAGCAAUCCUGUUCCUCUCCUGGGCAGCUUCAACCUGAACAUCCUCCUUCACCUUGAGCUAAAAUGGGUUUCUUGUCACCCUUGCCCAUCAAACCUGGCCUUGCCCUCAGGAACCACACAGGACAAGCCUAAUACUUCCUUCUUGUGGCAACACUUUAGCAAUUGAGACCUGGCUGUCAGGUCCUCCAAAUAAACAUUUGUG
rnacentral:lncRNA from 1 species